UACGAAGGGGGCUAGCGUUGCUCGGAAUUACUGGGCGUAAAGGCGCGUAGGCGGCCAUUCAAGUUAGGUGUGAAAGCCCUGGGCUCAACCUAGGAAUUGCACUUGAUACUGUUUGGCUUGAGUUCGGGAGAGGUGAGUGGAAUUCCCAGUGUAGAGGUGAAAUUCGUAGAUAUUCGCAAGAACACCAGUGGCGAAGGCGGCUCACUGGCCCGGUACUGACGCUGAGGUGCGAAAGCGUGGGGAGCAAACAGG
rnacentral:rRNA from 1 species